rnacentral:lncRNA from 1 species
CGGCGGCGGCGGCCCGGGCCGGGCGGGGGCGGGGGCGUCUGCGCGCACACGCGGGCUCGCAGACACACACACACGCACACGCGGGCCACGCCGCGCACACCCGCACCCGCGCCCGCGCUCACACUCACUCACACUCACACUCGCGCGCAGGCCCCGCAGCCGCCGCCGCCUCCGGAAGCGGCGCUCGGCCCGGAUCCCGGCCGGGCUGGAGGUGAGUGAGUCCGGCCGCGGCGGAGGGAGUGAGCGCUGGGGCCGAGGGGCACCCGGUCCGCCGGUGGGGGUGGGCCUGCGGGGGCCACAGCCGGGGGCGGCGGAGGAUGAGGCCGGGAAAGCCGCCCGCAGGGGCUCCCGGUCCGGGGACCACCGCGAGCCCCCCGGGACCCCGUGCGCGGGAGGGUGCCGGGGGCGGUGGGCGGAGGCGGGCGGGAGGACGCGGAGGACGGCCGGUGAGGUGAGCAUUCUCGGGGGCUGGUGCAGAGGCUCGAGGGUGGACGGCUGUUCCGGGCAGAGCCACGGCGCACCUCUCAGCCCCCAUCCUUGCGAAUCGGGGCCCUCGUCCCCCUCUCUCACGGGGGGCUGCCGGCCCGAGGAAUUCAUCUUCGUAGCCGAAGGAGAAGACCUGGGUGAGAAGCUGCUGCCGCCUGAGCCAGACUGGGACCGAGACCCCGUUGCUCCUGCUGCCGCUGCCAGCGCAGGGCCUCCCUGA